rnacentral:rRNA from 1 species
AUUCCAGCUCCAAUAGCGUAUAUUUAAGUUGCUGCAGUUAAAAAGCUCGUAGUUGGAUUUCGGGCGGUUGACGACGGUCCGCCUCUGGUGUGCACUGCCGUUCUUCCACCUUUCUGUCGGGGACGUGCUCCUAGGCUUCAUUGUCUGGGACACGGGUUCGACGUGGUUACUUUGAGUAAAUUAGAGUGUUCAAAGCAGGCAUCGCCUUGAAUAUAUUAGCAUGGAAUAGCACGAUAGGACUCUGGCCUAUUUUGCUGGUCUGUAGGACCGGAGUAAUGAUUAAGAGGGACAGUCGGGGGCAUUCGUAUUUCAUUGUCAGAGGUGAAAUUCUUGGAUUUAUGAAAGACGAACUUCUGCGAAAGCAUUUGCCAAGGAUGUUUUCAUCG